AGUGGUAGAAUUGUGAGGCUUUUCUUGUUCUAUUUUUUUUUUCCUCUAUCUUCUCCAGCACAGUCUGACCUCAUCCUUGCUUUGGGAAAGUUAUAGUUUUUAGCUCUUCCUGCCCAUGUCUUAAGGCUUUUAUUUUCCUUAGAGGCAAAAAGACCAAGUAGGGCUCUAUUCCUUUCCGGCCUUCCCUCCACCAGGACUGCAUCACUGAAAAAGAAUUUGUCUAGUCUCCUGUCCUGUCCCAAUCUUUCUCAGGAGCACCAGAUUCCUUGCCAAAAUUAUACAACAAAGGAAGUAUCCUAAGAAAAAACUAUGAAAGGAAAAGCCUGUUUUGUAAUCUUAAAAAAUAAAGAUCCCAAGGGCUUCAUAUUAUCUACAGCUAGAUAUCAGCUCCACAUCUCAGUGCUACAACUCAACCCAUCUUUAAGGGCCAUGAAAAAAAUGACAAGCUCUGUGACACCAGAAAAUUUAGGAAUGUUUGGCUUUUGGGAUUCUUCAAUAAUAUUUCAUCAGUGAUCCAUUCCUUUUUAUUGUAAUAUUUUAUUUUUUAUACCAUAAUUUCUUUUACCAUUCACCAUUGAAGUACAUUUGGGUUGUUCAAAGUUUUGGGCUAUAUUGAAUAAAGAACAUUAUUAGAACAUUCAUGUGCAACUCCCUAUGUGGAUAUGUUCUCAUUUCUCCUGAGUAAACACUUAGACAUGG